rnacentral:tRNA from 1 species
ACCCGAGGACCACCGCCAGCGAGCUGGGCACCAGGGCGAGACCGGCCUCCAGCGGGGAGUAGCCCAGGACGUUC